GCACCACAAGAACGCGUGGAGCAUGUGGCUUAAUUUGACUCAACGCGGGAAAUCUUACCGGGUCCGGACACACUGAGGAUUGACAGGCAAUAUCUCAUGGUUAUUAACCGGUUAAUGGUUAUUUAUUUAAUAGCCAGCGGUUAAUUAAGCAUCGAGUGUUAAAUAUGCUAGUCCUUUCAUGAUUAUGUGAUAGGUGGUGCAUGGCCGUUCUUAGUUCGUGGAGUGAUCUGUCUGCUUAAUUGCGUUUCACUAAGGGCCCAUAAAUUCAAGGUAUGUUAGCUAUCGUCGCUCUAUGGACCCCUUAUUCACUGCUUUAAUUAGUUUGUUUAAGCGCGCGUCUUUAUUUAAUGAGUUUAAGACACUGCGCAUGCUGUUGGGCUCUGAAAGCAACGAACGUGACCGCAACGUCUUGUUGCCUUAAUAAAGUUGGCUUUAAAUACGAAUUCGUAUUCGUAUUCGUAUUUAAACCGCUUACAGAGGCUAUUUAAAACUAGACGGACCGCUGUUUCUUUUCUUAAACCAGAGGAAGGUUGCGGCAAUAACAG
rnacentral:rRNA from 1 species